rnacentral:rRNA from 1 species
UGAGGAAUAUUGGUCAAUGGGCGCAAGCCUGAACCAGCCAAGUAGCGUGAAGGAUGAAGGUUCUAUGGAUUGUAAACUUCUUUUAUAAGGGAAUAAACCCACCUACGUGUAGGUGUCUGUAUGUACCUUAUGAAUAAGGACCGGCUAACUCCGUGCCAGCAGCCGCGGUAAUACGGAGGGUCCGAGCGUUAUCCGGAUUUAUUGGGUUUAAAGGGAGCGUAGAUGGGUUUUUAAGUCAGUUGUGAAAGUUUGCGGCUCAACCGUAAAAUUGCAAUUGAAACUGGAGACCUUGAGUAUAGUUGAGGUGGGCGGAAUUCGUGGUGUAGCGGUGAAAUGCUUAGAUAUCACGAAGAACUCCGAUUGCGAAGGCAGCUCACUAAGCUAUAACUGACAUUGAGGCUCGAAAGUGUGGGUAUCAAACAGGAUUAGAUACCCU